rnacentral:RNase_P_RNA from 1 species
AAAGUCGGCCAGGCAAUCGCCGGGUGACCGGGGGAAACCCCGGCGCCGGGAGGAAAGUCCGGGCUCCAUAGGGCAGGAUGCCAGCUAACGGCUGGGCGCUAUAAGCCGCAAGGCGAAGGCGACGGAAAGUGGAACAGAGAGUAGACCGCCCAAGCCGGGGGAAACCCCGGACGGCAAGGGUGAAACGGUGGCUCCGCGCAGGCGGGGGCGGCACUGCGAAAGCGGUGCCGCGGUAAGAGCCCACCGCGCCGGCGGCAACGUUCGGCGGCACGCUAAACCCCAUCCGGAGCAAGGCCAAAUAGGGAAGCAUGGGCGUGGCCCGCGCUGCUUCCGGGUAGGCUGCUUGAGCCUGUCGGCGACGGCAGGCCUAGAGGAAUGAUUGCCACGGCCCUUCGGGGUCGCUACAGAACCCGGCUUAUCGGCCGGCUUUCCAA